GACGAACGCCGGCGGCGUGCUUAACACAUGCAAGUCGAACGGAAAGGCCCCUUUGGGGGUACUCGAGUGGCGAACGGGUGAGUAACACGUGAGUAACCUGCCCUUGACUUCGGGAUAACUUCAGGAAACUGGGGCUAAUACCGGAUAGGAAUCCUUGCUGCAUGGUGGGGGUUGGAAAGCUUCGGCGGUUUUGGAUGGACUCGCGGCUUAUCAGCUUGUUGGUGGGGUAGUGGCUUACCAAGGCUUUGACGGGUAGCCGGCCUGAGAGGGCGACCGGCCACAUUGGGACUGAGAUACGGCCCAGACUCCUACGGGAGGCAGCAGUGGGGAAUAUUGCACAAUGGGCGGAAGCCUGAUGCAGCAACGCCGCGUGCGGGAUGACGGCCUUCGGGUUGUAAACCGCUUUCAGCAGGGGCGAAGCUUGUGGUGACGGUACCUGCAGAAGAAGCACCGGCUAACUACGUG
rnacentral:rRNA from 1 species